rnacentral:misc_RNA from 1 species
UUGAACGAAUGUAGAGUCGGUUGUCGCUGGCCCUCUCUCUCUGCCGGGCAUGUGCACGCCUUCUCUUUCAUCCACACACACCUGUGCACUCGUGAAGACGGAAGUGCCCCUUGGGCGUCCGUCUGCUCCACAUAAAACCAUAUGUAUGUAUAUAUCGGAUGUAAUUGAUGUAACACAUCUUUGAAC